rnacentral:rRNA from 1 species
GAUGAACGCUGGCGGCGUGCCUAAUACAUGCAAGUCGAGCGAACAGACGAGGCGCUUGCUCCUCUGACGUUAGCGGCGGACGGGUGAGUAACACGUGGAUAACCUACCUAUAAGACUGGGAUAACUUCGGGAAACCGGCGCUAAUACCGGAUAAUAUCUUGCACCGCAUGGUUCAAUAGUGAAAGACGGUUUUGCUGUCACUUAUCGCUGGAUCCGUGCCGCAUUAGCUAGUUGGUAAGGUAACAGCUUACCAAGGCAACUAUGCGUAGCCGACCUGAGAGGGUGGUCGGCCACACUGGAACUGAGACACGGUCCAGACUCCUACGGGAGGCAGCAGUAGGGAAUGUUCCGCAAUGGGCGAAAGCCUGACGGAGCAACGCCGCGUGAGUGAUGAAGGUCUUCGGAUCGUAAAACUCUGUUAUUAGUGAAGAACAAAUGUGUAAGUAACUAUGCACGUCUUGACGGUACUUAAUCAGAAAGCCACGGCUAACUACGUG